ACAAGUACCGUGAGGGAAAGUUGCAAAGCACUUUGAAGAGAGAGUUAAAGAGGACGUGAAACCGGUGGGGUGGAAACGGAUAGAGCCGGCGUAUCUAACAUGUAUUCAACCGCUAAAUUAUCGCGUUUCGUACUUUGAUCUCCGCGUUUCGCAUUUGAUCUCAUUGUUUGAAUCGUUGUAGUGGUGUGGUGCAUUUGCAUGUGGAGUGCGUAGAGGCGUCAGGGAUUGAGGUGUGAUCUCUGUUUUGAGGCCAGCUUGCUGAUACCCAAACAUCGGCAACACCUUUUCUUCCGGACGUUUUGUUGCAAGGCUUACGAGCUCUAUUGGGGCUCGAACUGGGGGUCGGUUACGGUCGCAUGCGACGCGUGCUGUUCAUCAUUCGAGUGCAUCCAGUUCGGUCCUGGUCGAGCUCACGUGCAGUCUCUCUGCGUAAAAGCCGGUCACCUAUCCGACCCGUCUUGAAACACGGACCAAGGAGUUUAUCGUGUGCGCGUGUCAUUGGGCUUUCAAAACUCAAAGACGAAAUGAAAGUGAAUGUCCUCGCAAGAGGCUGACGUGUGAUUCCCUGUCCUUUUCGAGGUGGGGAAGCAGCAUGGCCCCAUUCUGACUGCUUGCAGUGGGGUGGAGGAAGAGCGCAUGCGGUGAGACCCGAAAGAUGGUGAACUAUUCCUGAGCAGGAUGAAGCCAGAGGAAACUCUGGUGGAAGUCCGAAGCGGUUCUGACGUGCAAAUCGAUCGUCUGACUUGGGUAUAGGGGCGAAAGACUAAUCGAACCAUCUAGUAGCUGGUUCCUUCCGA
rnacentral:rRNA from 1 species